CAAACCCAAAACUGGGAAAGGGGUACCCCCAAGGGCACCCGGAAAAAGGGGGCUUUCCCUGGGCCUAAAAGCCCCCGGGAAUAAAGGGGGGGCAAGACUGGUGUCAGCCGCCGCGGUAACACCAGCCCCUCGAGUGGUGGGGAUGAUUAUUUGGCCUAAAGCGUCCGUAGCCGGCCGGGUAAGUCUCCCGUUAAAUCCAGCGUCUCAAGCGUUGGACUGCGGGAGAUACUGCCUGGCUAGAGAGUGGGAGAGGUGUACGGUAUUCUGGGGGUAGGGGCGAAAUCCUUUGAUCCCCGGAGGACACCAGUGGCGAAGGCUGUACACUAGAACACGUCUGACGGUCAGGGACGAAAGCUGGGGUAGCGAACCGGAUUAGAUACCCGGGUAGUCCCAGCCGUAAACGAUGCAUGCUAGGUGUUGGGUUGGCCACGAGCCACCCCAGUGCCGCAGGGAAGCCGUUAAGCAUGCCGCCUGGGAAGUACGAUCGCAAGAUUGAAACUUAAAGGAAUUGGCGGGGGAG
rnacentral:rRNA from 1 species